rnacentral:rRNA from 1 species
UGGGGGAUAUUGCACAAUGGGCGAAAGCCUGAUGCAGCGACGCCGCGUGGGGGAUGAAGGCUUUCGGGUUGUAAACCUCUUUCGCUAUCGAACAAGGCCCGCUUAGGGUGGGUUGAGGGUAGGUGGAGAAGAAGCGCCGGCUAACUACGUGCCAGCAGCCGCGGUAAUACGUAGGGCGCGAGCGUUGUCCGGAAUUAUUGGGCGUAAAGGGCUUGUAGGCGGCUUGUUGCGCCUGCUGUGAAAACGCGGGGCUUAACUUCGCGCGUGCAGUGGGUACGGGCAGGCUUGAGUGUGGUAGGGGUGACUGGAAUUCCAGGUGUAGCGGUGGAAUGCGCAGAUAUCUGGAGGAACACCGAUGGCGAAGGCAUGUCACUGGGCCAUUACUGACGCUGAGGAGCGAAAGCAUGGGUAGCGAACAGG